CGCACUCCUACGGGAGGCAGCAGUGGGGAAUAUUGCACAAUGGGCGCAAGCCUGAUGCAGCCAUGCCGCGUGUAUGAAGAAGGCCUUCGGGUUGUAAAGUACUUUCAGCAGUGAGGAAGGUGGGUAUGUUAAUAGCAUAUUCAUUUGACGUUAGCUGCAGAAGAAGCACCGGCUAACUCCGUGCCAGCAGCCGCGGUAAUACGGAGGGUGAGAGCGUUAAUCGGAAUUACUGGGCGUAAAGCGCAUGCAGGUGGUUUGUUAAGUCAGAUGUGAAAGCCCGGGGCUCAACCUCGGAAUUGCAUUUGAAACUGGCAAACUAGAGUACUGUAGAGGGGGUAGAAUUUCAGGUGUAGCGGUGAAAUGCGUAGAGAUCUGAAGGAAUACCGGUCGCGAAGGCGGCCCCCUGGACAGAUACUGACACUCAGAUGCGAAAGCGUGGGGAGCAAACAGGAUUAGAUACCCUGGUAG
rnacentral:rRNA from 1 species